UACCUCUCAUCCUACACCGUUGGAUCGAGAAAUAGACGUCCGAGAUUCGUCCAUGUCACCAUGAUUAAAAUUUAACUCGCAGAUUCACUCGUGAGUUAAAAUUUACUGGAAGUUAAAUUUUAACUCAUGGUGACGUGGACGAAUCUUGAACGUCCAUUUCUCGAUCCAACGGUAUAGGAUGAAAGUUG
rnacentral:pre_miRNA from 1 species